rnacentral:rRNA from 1 species
UACAGAGGGUGCAAGCGUUAAUCGGAAUUACUGGGCGUAAAGGGCGCGUAGGUGGUUGACUAAGUCAGAUGUGAAAUCCCUGGGCUUAACCUAGGAAUUGCAUUUGAUACUGGUCAGCUAGAGUGUGGGAGAGGGAAGUGGAAUUUCCAGUGUAGCGGUGAAAUGCGUAGAUAUUGGAAGGAACACCAGUGGCGAAGGCGACUUCCUGGACCACUACUGACACUGAGGCGCGAAAGCGUGGGGAGCGAAC